AUGGACGUGGGGCUGGAGGCUGGUGGGGGCCUCCUUGGAGGGAGGCAGGCAAAGGCAGCCCUGUCCCCUCCCCCGCCCCGCGGCCCAGGUCGAGGCCACAGGGCCCUGCCACAGCCAGGCCUCUUGGCUUACAUCCUCCUCCAGACAGGGAUACUGAGGCCUGAGAGUGGAGAGGCUCCCCCAGAGUCUGACGGUGCAACACGGCUGGGUCGGGAGGCAGCUCCCAGCCUGAGCCCUUUUCCACCCUGCAGAACCAUCCAGCGUGCGCCGAAGGGGCAGAGCUGCCGUGGAUUGCCCUGCCAAGACUUCGAUGCUCUCAGGAAGGAAAACGUUUAUGAGAACAACAAACUGGUGAGUGUCCUUGUUCCUGCCUCAAAGCCACUGUGGCCAGUCUGUCCUGUGCCAUCACUCAGGUCCCAGGGACCACCCUCAGGUACCACCAGGGCAGCUGUGGGAGGUGCUGGCACAGCAGGUGAGCAUCUGGAGGCCAGAGACGUGCUGCUGAGCUCCACAGCCUGUCCUAAGCCAGGGGACCCCAACCCCAGAAAUAGCCUCCAAUCUGGUGCCCAGGCCCUCCUGGCUCCUUCUUCCUGUCACAGAAGGAAGAGAUUGGGGGUGGCUGGGACUUUAGUUACCAUCCAAGGCAGAGUGGGUCCAGAGGUGGCUCUGGGAGGACCAGCCCUGGGGUGAGUCCUGGCUGGGCUGUGGCCCUUCCCCACCUUGUGGGGACCAGCAGCCCCGAGCCCACCUGUGGGCCUGGCCACUGGGUCCUGAACACACUGCUUGCAGCCUCGUGCUCUGGCCAGCCUGGGUCCAGGGUCCUGCCCGCCGCCCCGCUGCCAGACGCUUCCCUGUGCCAGCUUCAGUUUCCUUGCUGCAGAAUAAGCCCCAUUAUUGCGCUGGGUUGAUGCCCAGAGAAGCAGACACGCACCGGGCCUCCCCAAGCUGGCUCUCCCAGCUCUGGGGUGGCAGGCCCAGCUCUGCGGGUCAAACCCGCACAGCCGAUGCGCGCUCCGCUCGGCUCCUGCACGACUUGCAUUUCCAUCUGACUUAAUUUAGAGGAAGUAGUGACAAAUUCAGUUCCUCCGCCAUGCUCUCCACCUGUCAGAUGCUCACAGUAGAUCGUGUGGACUAGAGCUCGUCCAUUGUCACAGAAAAUUCUGUGGGGACGCCAUAGCGGGUGGGCCGGAUGAACACGUGGGACAGUGCAGGGCAGGUGUGUGAGGCCGCCGCGUGUUUGUCCUGAGGGGACAGGGCAGGCUCCCCUGGUAAAGAGGAGUCCCAUGGGCACCUCUAGGAGGGGCCAGCCUGGUGGGGGGCUGCUGGCACGAGGCUGUCCCCUCUGGAGGGCACCUUGGCUAGUAGGAGAAAUAGCAAGGGGGCACGGCGGGAACAGAAUUAGAGGCAGUGGGAACAGAGGGAGAGGCAGUGGGAACAGAGAGGGAGUGCGGUGGGAACAGAGUGGGAGAGGCAGUGGGAACAGAGUGGGGGCGCAGGCAGGACAGACUGGGGGAGGUGGGGGCAGGUGGGCAUGGGAAGCAAUUGGCCUCCUCCCAGGGCUGCUGGGCUGGGGUGCUCAGGUCUGUAGGAUCUAUACUGAGGACCAGGUGGAUGGUGAGGGGAUGAAGGUGCAUCAUGAAUAGUCAGAUUCCGCACACAUUUUGAAGGGGAGUCGAAGGAGUUUCGAGGC
rnacentral:lncRNA from 12 species